AUGUAAAGCAUUAAGCACAAGGAAUAAUUGAAGAAACUAACUUCGUAAUUCAUUGAUCAUAACAUAUGAUAAUCACAUGAUUCAAGAUAAAUUGAAAUUAGAAUUCCCUAAGGACCAAUCAUAAAAAAUUUAGCUAGACAUAAUAUUCAAAGAAACAAGGAUGAUUAAAAGGGAUAAACCAAAGAUGGAUUGCUUUGAAUUUGUCCACUCUUCACGUGCCUUCCUUUGUUUCUUCAAUUCAUCAUUCCAUGAAGCCAAGCCAGCUCCUCUCUGUUCC
rnacentral:lncRNA from 1 species